GUAUUAUAAUUUACUAUUUGAGUAUUAGUUACAUUAUUUUUAACUUGAAGAAUCUGUAAGGUAAAAGGUUAAUUAAAAUACUAGAAAAUGUUUAAUUGUACCUUUUGUAUCAGGGUUAAUUUAAUAUUAUAAAUUAGUUUUUAUUCCCGAAAGAAGAAGAUUUAGGUAAAAUUUUGAUUUUGUGUUGCAAAAUUAGAGUAAAAGUUUUACUUAGGUUUGAAAUGGAUUACGAUUCUUUAUAUCUGGUUAUUUGAGUAUUUAAUUUAAUUAAUUUUGUUGUAGGAUGAGAAGAUUUUACACAAAAAAAUUUAAAUGGGGAAAAUCUCGUUUAAUAAUGAACAGGUUAUGUAGACUUUUGCUUAGUAUGUUUGAAAGACUUUCUUUUUAAUUUUUAAUAAUUAAGUAAUUAUUUUAUUCAAACUAGACCUUUCUUUAUUUUUCAAAUUGGUGAAUUUAAUUUUUUUUUUUAGAUAAUAAUGAUUGAAUUAGUAGAUUUUGUAAGUAAGUGGUUAAGAACUCGGCAAUAAUUAUUUUCGCCUGUUUAUCAAAAACAUGUUUGGGAGAAAAAAAUUUUUGAUUAGACCUGCUCAAUGCUUAUAGGUAAAUAGCUGCAGUAUUUUGACUGUACAAAGGUAGCAUAAUCAUUAGUCUUUUAAUUGAAGGCUGGUAUGAAUGGUUUGACGGAAAAUAAUCUUUUUUACUUUUACUUAUAUUGAAUUUUAUUUUUGUGUUAAAAAGCUUAAAUAAAAGAAAGGGACGAGAAGACCCUAUAGAAUUUAAAAUUAGGAAUUAAAGUUUAGGUUUUUUGUUGGGGUGAUGGAGAGUAAAACACUUUUUUUUAAAUUACUUAUAAGUAACUUUAUUGAUCCUUUUGUGAAGAUAGCAAGAUAAAAUUACCUUAGGGAUAACAGCAUAAUUUUUUUAAAAAGAUCUUAUUAAUAAAAAAGUUUAUGACCUCGAUGUUGAAUUAAAUUUAUUGUAGGGGCAGGAUUUUACAAUUUUGAGUCUGUUCGACUUUAAAAAUUUACAUGAUUUGAGUUCAAACCGGUGUGAGCCAGGUUGGUUUCUAUCUGUUUUAAUAUUAUUUAUUUUAGUACGAAAGGAUUAAGUAAAUAAAUUUUUAUUUUAAAAAAGAAUAAAUCUAAUU
rnacentral:rRNA from 1 species